AACGAACUUCCGUUAAUUGAUUAUGACGUACUUGUACUGAUUGAGAUUUUAACACGAAGUGAGUGGCGAACGGGUGAGUAACACGUGGGUAACCUGCCCAGAAGUAGGGGAUAACACCUGGAAACAGAUGCUAAUACCGUAUAACAGAGAAAACCGCAUGGUUUUCUUUUAAAAGAUGGCUCUGCUAUCACUUCUGGAUGGACCCGCGGCGUAUUAGCUAGUUGGUGAGGUAAAGGCUCACCAAGGCAGUGAUACGUAGCCGACCUGAGAGGGUAAUCGGCCACAUUGGGACUGAGACACGGCCCAGACUCCUACGGGAGGCAGCAGUAGGGAAUCUUCCACAAUGGACGCAAGUCUGAUGGAGCAACGCCGCGUGAGUGAAGAAGGGUUUCGGCUCGUAAAGCUCUGUUGUUAAAGAAGAACGUGGGUAAGAGUAACUGUUUACCCAGUGACGGUAUUUAACCAGAAAGCCACGGCUAACUACGUGCCAGCAGCCGCGGUAAUACGUAGGUGGCAAGCGUUAUCCGGAUUUAUUGGGCGUAAAGCGAGCGCAGGCGGUCUUUUAAGUCUAAUGUGAAAGCCUUCGGCUCAACCGAAGAAGUGCAUUGGAAACUGGGAGACUUGAGUGCAGAAGAGGACAGUGGAACUCCAUGUGUAGCGGUGAAAUGCGUAGAUAUAUGGAAGAACACCAGUGGCGAAGGCGGCUGUCUGGUCUGCAACUGACGCUGAGGCUCGAAAGCAUGGGUAGCGAACAGGAUUAGAUACCCUGGUAGUCCAUGCCGUAAACGAUGAUUACUAAGUGUUGGAGGGUUUCCGCCCUUCAGUGCUGCAGCUAACGCAUUAAGUAAUCCGCCUGGGGAGUACGACCGCAAGGUUGAAACUCAAAAGAAUUGACGGGGGCCCGCACAAGCGGUGGAGCAUGUGGUUUAAUUCGAAGCUACGCGAAGAACCUUACCAGGUCUUGACAUCUUCUGACAGUCUAAGAGAUUAGAGGUUCCCUUCGGGGACAGAAUGACAGGUGGUGCAUGGUUGUCGUCAGCUCGUGUCGUGAGAUGUUGGGUUAAGUCCCGCAACGAGCGCAACCCUUAUUACUAGUUGCCAGCAUUAAGUUGGGCACUCUAGUGAGACUGCCGGUGACAAACCGGAGGAAGGUGGGGACGACGUCAAAUCAUCAUGCCCCUUAUGACCUGGGCUACACACGUGCUACAAUGGAUGGUACAACGAGUCGCGAGACCGCGAGGUUAAGCUAAUCUCUUAAAACCAUUCUCAGUUCGGACUGUAGGCUGCAACUCGCCUACACGAAGUCGGAAUCGCUAGUAAUCGCGGAUCAGCAUGCCGCGGUGAAUACGUUCCCGGGCCUUGUACACACCGCCCGUCACACCAUGAGAGUUUGUAACACCCAAAGCCGGUGGGGUAACCUUU
rnacentral:rRNA from 1 species